UCAUAGGGUUAGCACGAUGAACAAUUCUGAAUUCUUCAUGUUUUUAUUUACUAGGUGCAUCAAAUGUUGAAAGAGAAACAACCCCGGGACUUGUAUAAAGAACAGUUGCCUAUGUCUUCUGAAAUAUGAAGAAGAAUGGUGAUGGAUGGGUGACAAGCAGCAGGUCAGUGCUGAGUGAACUGCUCCAUUUCAUUCUAGUAACGACAUACACAAUAGGCCAAGUGAACUGAAUAAGACCUAAAUGGUCUUACACGGCCAAAAUGUUACUUUUAGAAAGCAGCAUUUUGGCCCUUGACUUCCAAACAAACGUACGAGUAUUCAGUGCUGCUAUCCAUGGUCCCCAAAGAAAUCUAUCCAUUAUAGUUUGAUGAUGCCUUUUUGUGAACUAAUCACUUUUCUUACCAGGAUACUCAUCAUUAUCCUUUCCAUCUUAAUCAAGUCUUAAGUUAUUAUGUGUAGAGGGGGAUGGGGAGUGAUGACAGGUAUGCUAACUCCAUUCCAUCACUCUCCCAGUCAUACACCUAUUUGUGGAAAGUGACUGUCAGCAGUGGGGGACAGCAUCUUGUGCACUGGUAAAGGCUCUCCACAUGUGUUUAAACUCAGGGCGUUUUGGCUCCCUGCUUCAGAAAGUCGCCCUCAACAAUCUGGAGAGGGGCUGAAAUGAUGAUGUUCAUCCCCACUGGACCUCUUCAUAUGGUAGCUUAACAUUUGAUCAUAACACUUGAAUGGUAUGGCUAUGCUAGAAAGAUGGGACCUAACUCUGAACCCCAUCACCCAUGGCUAAUCCCAUUCAUAAUAGGUGCCUAGGAUGACUAAAUCCCUAUUUGCAUAAUCACUCCGCGGAAGUAAAUGAAAUUUGCAAUUAAUACACAGUUGCUUCUUCAUUAAACACAGUAAUAACAAAUGCGUUGAAAUAUACUAUACUUUGAACAGUGGGCAGAAAAAUCAUUCUAAAGCUCCAUUUGGCUGUGAAUGGAUAGACUACUAGUCAAAGAACAAAGUGAGUAUUUAGAGAGAAUUAGCCACAAAUGCUGCUGAUUACCAGAAAGUAGGAUGAGGGGGGAGGAAUCAAAGCCACACCUGCUCCACUCAGGGAAAAUGAAGGCUUAUUUUGCUGAAGCAAUGACUUUUGGUUUGUUAUGCAGUCUUGUUUGUAGCCACACAAUUGUGAAACUCCUGGCUGCGUGAGUAGGAAACAACAUUGGGCUUAAAAUGGCUCAAUACACUGAAUGCUGUUCACAAACAGGCCCUGGUGAAGUUCUGUGGUUUCAACCUUGCUAGCAGCUGAGCUGAAGGCCACAGUCGCACCAUACAUUUAAAGCACUCAUAUUCUACUUUGGUUUUCCCCAAAGAAUCCUGGGAACUGUAGUUUGUUAAGGGUCCUGAGAGUUUUCAGGAGAUCCCUAUUCCACACACAGAGCUACAGUUACAGUGUGGUUUAAUAAUCAACUCUGCACUUCAGUGUGCUGUUGUGAAAUGUGGUAUGGAUAGAGUUUGGAAGUGUAACAUUAAAGUCUCUUCUUAAGAUGCUUCCAGCUACUGAGUUUGAACUGCUGAUUUAAAGGGGCAUUGGGAGCUUGCACCAAAGAUCCAUUUUGUCUAGCACUCUGGUCAGCUGAAUGUCUUUCGGAUGCUACAAGCUGAGCAUGAAUGCAACAUCUCUCUCCUGUUGUUUGUCCUUAGCACCUUCCUAGAUCCUGACUUAUUGCAAAGCUCUUUCCAAGAGAUUGGACUGCAAGAAACACCAGCCCCAAACUCGUGUGUGUGUGUGUGUGUGUGUGUGUGUGUGUGUGUAGAUGUGCACAGACCUGCAUCAUUCAUCUUCAUUCCCUGGACCAACCACCAUAUUAAUACCUGCAUGCCUUUAUGCCCAUUGGCACUCAGGACAGCCUUUGAGAACAAUUUCCAAAACUGUUCAUUUGUCAUACAAGGAGGGACCAGCAGUAUGUUUCGAUCUAUAGGAGCCAACUCCUAGGAGGCAAGGUCCCUUUGCUCCCCCCAAUAAAGUAUUUGAGGGGGCUGGAGACCCCCCAAAGUUGAUGGGCAUUGCCAUUCAAAUGGUGUCCAUGCACCACAACAUGUGAUUGAUUUUGUGGGGCAGGGCUUACCUCCCCCAUCCAAUAUUUUAUUCAAGUUGACACCACUGCUUCUAUCCUAGCACAUGCCACAAUUAGUGGUCAGGAUUGGUUUGCCCAUAUUGACACUGAAUUAGGAAUUUAUUUUCAAAGAUCCUAGCUUACAUAAAGCUCAAAAUAUGUUUUGAUGCAGUCAUUAUUUGACUAGACACUGUGGUGCCCUUCAAAUGUUGUUGGAUGGCAACACCCAUCAUCCCUGACCAUUGGCCAUGCUGGCUGGGGGUGAUGGGAGAUGUAGUCCAACCACCUCUGUAGGUACCAUGUUGACUAACUUUGAACAAGAAGCUUUCUUUCUAGCAUAAUUUCAUUUUGUAUAAACUGAAUAUAUAGUGGUCAUUCCACCCUCAGUUUAAUAGUCUUCUGCCGAGAGGAUAUUUGGGGAAGAAACGGUGGACAUUAGAUUUUAACUAUUGCCAAAAGAACAACAACAAAAGGCGUUGUUCACCCCAAUGUCACAAAACAAAUGAAUGGGAUAAUCUAUUUGUGCAUCAGUACUCUUCAUAAACGUGCAAGCUUCACACAGGGCUUGUUUAGUCACCAGACCAUUAAGUGUUAACAGCUGUAAGUCUAGGUCUAAGUCAGUAUUAGAGUCACACUUCUUGCUCCCCCUCCCCCACAAAAAAAUCAAUAUCUGCAAAUAAUAAAUGAGAUCCCGAAGGGUUGAGUUAAGCCCCAACCAGCACCAAGCAACUCUGCAAUUGGUCAUUGACUCAAUAAUGCAGGUGAGUGCCACACUGCAGAGCAUCUUUAGCAUGCUAUAGUAGAAAAUUAAUAGUGUUCAAAUCAGGAGUGGGGUUACCCUGAGGAUUACAUAAUAGCUCGGGUGAGAACAAGCACCUCGCUCCAAGAAGUGAAAAAUGUCAUAGUGCUUCAAAAAGAAAAGAGCUCCGGCAUUAGAUAUAAUUUGAGCCAUGUGCAAUGUUUUCUGUUUUUAACAACUCAAACAAUAAAGGUAACACCUUGCAUUGUCCAUGGCGCUGCUGAAAAUACUGUCCAGUAACCCGCAUUGCAGUGGUGUCCAAGGGACAUUGUACUGACUGUAUAUCCGGAUAUUCUCAGCAAUAAUAAUUACAGAAGGGAAUGCUUGUGUGCAAUUGUGAGGAGCUCAGAGAACGUGUUAAGUAUUACAAAAGAAAGCAGUGUGACAAGCCCCUGCACAUGUUCCAGUGCUUAAUAUACAAAAGGCUACAACCUCACUGAUUAGACAGAAAAUAGUAACUUUUCACUACAUCUACACCAGCACAUCUGUGAUUACUGUCAGGGAACUAGUAUGAUAAUAUCCUCACACCUGCUCCAGCAGAGUGUCUGAAAGGGGAGGUGAAAAGUAACUUGAGGAUGAAUUACUUAUUUAUAUUUACAUUUAUUUCUCUUCCAGCAGCAGUCAAUGGCACUCAUGACUAAUAAGCACCUUUAGAGAUAACAACUGUAUUCCCACAAACUGAAAGAAAUGUCAGAAAACUACAGAUCAGCACAGCCCAAAUAUCUACCAAUUUGAAGGAAACAACAGAUUGCAUAGUAUGUGAUAUGCUAUCCAUUAUUCAUUUAUCCAUUUUGUGUGUGUACCAAAGAACACUUUGGACAGAGAAGGGCCCAUAGUGUGUGUGUGUGUGUGUGUGUGUGUGUGUGUGUGUGUGUGUGUAGAUAGCACAGUGUGUAUAAUAUCACAGCUUGAACAGACUUGAAGAGAGGUAAGCACUUAGAUUUACAAAGUAUGGUAUUUCCAUUACAUUAUACAUUUAGAAGGCAAGUGAAUGCAUUUCUCCUCCCUAAAAUCAACCCAUUCUUUUUUUUAAAAAAAACCCCAAACAAUCAAACAAAACAAACUUCUGAGAAGCAAUGGGAAUCCCAUCUUUUACUUACAAUAAGGAAAAAAAAACACAUCUUUGUUAGUAACUUCAAAGCACUGCCUGUAACAUGUGUGACACAGGAUGUUGAAAGCCAGAAUUCAAACAGGGCUUGACAAAAAUGAAAAUAUGGUCACUACCGUCUCAAGUUCAGACUUACCUUCCAAGCUGCCAGAGUCCCAUAUGUUCACCAAGGCAAGAAACGGCUUACAACGUUCCCCACAGGGCUUCUUGUCUUAAGUAAUGUCCAGGGAUGUCCUUACCAUGCUUGGCACCAGCUGCAAAAAUAAAAGACCGGUGUGAAGAAUUAAAUCCUCUGUUGUUCUACUGCUUUCCCUCUGGUUUGUCUCUCACAGCGACUUGUGCCAUACACAAAAUGGCACCUCUCUUUCAAUGCAGAGAAGUCUGGGUUUAUAUACCAAGCAUGUGUAUGCGAGAAUACCACAAAACACUAGUUCCUUAUCAUGCGCUUGUUAGCUUGUCCAAUCUAUGGCAAUCACUUUGGUCCCAGGGGUUGAAAGACACAAGACGCAGGGAAAAAAAAGGGAAGCAAAAGCUGAAGAAAGAUCAAUACUGCACUGUGAAACAAGAAGUGUAGGCUAUUUACUUUUCAUUGAUCUGAUGAUGCAGGAGAAACACCUCAGACUGGCAUUAAAUUGAGGGAAUACAUCUUCUCUGUGUGUGGGAUUUUCACCUCAAGGUCAAGAGAGCCAAACAGAAAUUAGAACAAACAGAAACUAAUCGCAGGCUUACAAUAAAACUAUUAAUCCACAUUACAAAUCCACACGGAAACGUAAUUAAAUAUCAGGCUGAAUAAGGUUCACAAUAAAACAAAUGCUGCCAGCUUUUAUCGACUUCAGCUUGCACCUGGACCAACCAUGGGGGGGGGGGAGGGUGUGAAAUACUGAAACGAAGGCUACAGCAAAUUAAUAUGGGGCACUGAUACUCAGGCCCAGAGACUGGAUUCAAAUAUUUCAGCCACAGGAUAAAUGCCUGGAAAGUAAUUAGAACCAUACAUUUGCCUCUUGUGAAGAGUGAAAAUGCAACUUUUCACACAUACUUCAACAUACUUCAACUCAACAAAUGAGUCUUUUCCAAGAGGGUAUCUAUCAUACCCCUUUAAGUCAUCACUCACUAGUUUCUGAGUAGGCAAAGAAACAGUGAAUUUUCUGCUCCAAAAUGGAAAGCGUACAAAUUCUGCAACAAUUACCAAUAUGAUAUAAGCUUGCUCCUUGGUUGAAUGCAAAAUAAACUGGAAAGUUUAUCUGAAAAAUAUUUAGAAAUGCUUGGUUUUGUUUCCCCAAGCAUGUCCAAAGAUCUUACACAACAUUUCCAGUACUUCUUCCAAAACUGUUGGAAUAUAUAUUACAGGUUGGGUAUUGAAAAACAUCUGUUAAUCCUUUUGUUCUGUUUAAUUAUUUUGUAGACACCUUUAGCCUGGAACUGCAUCUUACUCACAAAUAGUUGUUCCUCAACAUUACAUAAGGUAUCACAUCACUGGCAGCAUAUUAUUUCGGAGGGAAGGAGAAGGGGAAUGCAAGACCAGGCCCAAAUGAGGGCAGAAAACCUGCCUCUCUUAUACAACCACUAAAGAUAUCGGACAAUAAUUUUGCUCGCCUUUCUACCUCACAAUUCUACCAGGAAUUGCAGAAAGACAUAUAUACUUAAGAAUUAAAAGUGGGUUUCAAGUUGCAGGUUAGGUCUGAAACAGUUGAAGAUUAAUACAUGUCAUUUCAACCCUAAGAGUAACUCUUAUUUUAGCAUCAGCAAAAUAUAAGGCCCGAUAGCCAAAGAAACAUCUUUAACAACCGCUAACUUGACGAGAGCUCAUAAUGGGUAUCAACUUGGAAAAAACCAUGUCCAGGGGCUGGCAGCAAGAGUGCGAUGAAGCAAAUAGUUACACAAAUUCCUGAUGUCAGCAAGCCUGCUGUUGAUAAACUUGUGAACUGUCUUUUUUUUUUUAUGACAUGAAGAUAUAUUUUUAUUUCUUGGCAUUGUGGAUUAGAUGGGUUUUGAGAAGUGACUUGAAGAUGCAGGAAAGCAAUUAAAGACAUGGAAGGCUAAGGGUAAGCAUAAACAGUCACAUUUCCCUCAGAAGUGACUUUAGCCAGUCAGCUACAAGCAUAGGAUCUAGGCAUAAAAAGUUACCAACAACAACAAGUAGUAAUAGUAGCAGCAGCAGCAGUAGUAGCAGUAGCAGUAGUAGUAGUUCACAUUGUGGCUUAGAAAAUUGCCUUGGCAGGCCCAUUAUAUCUAGGUAGCACAAACUGGGGGAAUGUCUAAACCCACAAAAAUGAGUUCCAUGUGGCUAUGUAGUAAAGCGGUUGUGCAAGAUGUGCAGCAAAGCACUCAAUCAGCCAAUUACAUAAUUGCAUUCCACCACUCAAAACCAUUUGAGCUAGUGAAUUCCUUGAUUAAAACGUUUUGGCGAUUAUUCUUGUCAGAAAGAUGACAUUAUUUUGGUUUUUCGAGCUGCUCCCAAAUCAUUACUUGCAUGUCUGUUUUGGUUGUGGAUUUCUUCUGUCCAUAUCACUUCCCACAAUGGAUUCAUUUUAGUACCUAAUCAAAACCUUUGUAGUAGUUCUUGUUUCAAUACUGCUUUCACUUAGCACCAUGUUUAUGGUUGCCCCAAAGCAGUGGUUUAAUGUGGGUUCUGGAAUCUUUGCUGGCAUUAGGAAUGAAUUUUGAUAGUUUUCACAGUCCAUUAUUUUGUGUUUUAGUACCAAUGUCUGUUCUGUUAACCCCAGCUGGGUAGUUUUUUAUUUAUUUAAUGGAUUCUGAUGUAAAGUUUUAUAUAUACAUUCACACACCUUAAAUAUCUAGAUUUAUUUGUUCAUAUUGAGAUCUUUGAAGGAGGUCCUCCUGGUUUUGUUGCCACCUGGGGGAGGUUUCCAUUGUGGUACCCAGUUUAUGGAAUCAACUCCCCUCCAUAAUAAGGCAAGCACCAACUCCAAUGAGUUUCCAAUAUUUGCUAAAUAAUUUUUCCCCACCCAGGCAUUACUGGUUAUUAAUCCCAGGCUUAUUGAAAUAACUGAUGGGUCCACUGUGGAUGUUGAUAUGUUUUAUUAUAUUUUAUUGCAUCCCACUGUGCUGAUUUUAGUGGAAUGUAAGGUUGUGAGCCACUCUGGAAUUAUAAAGGGCAGUUUAGAAAAGAGUUAAAUAAACAAUGUUCCAUUGAUGCCUAACCGAAUUCCAACCCCAGUUCACAGUGCUGGGUUUAACUAGGGUCCAGGGAAUUGUGGCACCUAUAAUUUGGAAUGUGCUCCCCUGAAAGGUAUGCUUGGCUUCUUCACUUGCUUUUCCUGAUCUGAAUUGUUCCAGCCUCCCUUAUUCAUCUACCACUGAUAUCCUCGACAUGUUGAUUUUCUUAGGGUUGUAUUCAAUGUAGUGCUGAGGCCAACAUUCCAUCAGCACAAGGACCUCUCCUUGUGCAACAAAAUGUUCUCCCAUUGUAUCUUCCCUAAAUCUGUUCUGGGGUUUCCCUCCAACUGCUUGGAGUAUAUCUGGGGAUGGUAGGAGCAAGGAAGAAGGGCAAGUCCCUUUGGGCUAGCAAUAGUACAUGCACAAGUGCAAUUAUUUUGCUGAAUACCGCUCUCAGUGUUUGACUUCAUUUAUUAUAACUUGUAUUUUAUUUUCAUUUUUAUGUUUCAAUUAACUUUUGUGCACCACUUGGGUGGUCUUUGGAUAGAAAAGUGGUAGAAGAAUAAUUACUGAGUAAUUUCUGAGUAAUAAUAGUCAUCAUGGACAAAAUUUGUUCAAGUCCGUGAAAGAGUACCUUAAGGUAACUUAAAGCACCUUAAGAGUAGCAAAGUACUUUAAAGAGUACCCAAAAAUGGAAACCCAAGCUUUGUGCUGUAUACAUCCCACUGUUGAAUAAAGUAGAGUCCUAAAAAGGAGCGACUGCCUUCAGUAGUGGGGACACCAAUUCAUAUAUUAAAGGAGUCCACAUACUGAAAUUGUUAAUGAAUGAUAUCUCAGCAGCUCAAGUUCAUCCAACUCAAGUUUCUAAGUAUCAGCAUUAUUUGUUGCUCACUAUAUCAUGUGCUGAUAAUUUAUUUGUUUGCAAGACUGAACAAUCAGACAGGCAUUUCUCAACUAGUUGUGUGCCCCUUUGAAUUCAUCAUACGCUGAGGGCAAAUUUGGGGUCAUAAGGAUCACCUCUUAGCAUCACAUGGAAAUAUUGCUCCAUUAUUCAUUGUUAAAGAAGAACAAAAAGAAAGGGGGGGAAGAUGCCAAUUCUAGGAAAAAUUAGGAAAGUAGCAAUAUAAUGUUUUUUUCAAGAAAUGGCAUCAUGGGCAGGUGCUGUGAAUUUUUUACUCUAUUUUCUUUGCUUUCUCUUCUUAGGCAAAAUAAUGAAGAAAGAACAAAGCAUCUUCCCCCACAGUGGACUUUUGAAGUAUGUAAAAUCAAAGGAGUUAGCUGAAAUAUCAGAGAGAACACAAGGGGGGGAAAUAAAACAGUUUUGUUGAAGUAUA
rnacentral:lncRNA from 1 species